rnacentral:rRNA from 1 species
CCUGAUAAUAUCCCAACUGAAUUCUAUCAGGCAUGCUGGGAUAUUGUCGAGGACGUUAUAUCUCUUUUUAGACACUUUCACAAAGGGACUCUAGAUGUGCAGCAUCUCAAUUAUGGGGCGAUAAUGCUAUUACCUAAAACUUCUGGCAUUGAUAAAAUUCAGCAGUUUAGACCCAUAUGCCUUUUGAGAUGUCCAUACAAGCUUAUCACAAAUGUUCUAGACCGCUGCGUAGAGUGGUAUGCAUGUAAGAUGAUUAGUUCUACCCAGAAUGCGUUUGUGAAGGGGAGACGUAUCAUGGAUGGGAUACUCUCUCUUCAUGAACUUUUGAACUAUACCCAUGCUAAGAAAAGGGUUGGUGUACUGUUGAAGCUAGACUUCGGAAAAGCAUAUAAUAAAGUGAUUUGGGACUUCUUGUUGGAAUGCCAUAAACUUAGAGGCUUUAGUGACACCUGGUGUGGGUGGAUCAAACAGAUUCUGUAUAAUGGUACGGUUAGUAUCAAACUAAAUAACUGUGUUGGACCUUACUUUCAAAGUGCAAAAGGGGUUCGUCAAGGCGACCCACAUUCUCCUUUUUUGUUUAAUCUAGCUGCUGAUUGCCUAGCUAAGAUGAUUACUAAUGCGCAAAAAAACCUGUUAGUAGGGCUAGCUCUUGAUCUCAUUCCUAACGGAGUGGCGGUUCUACAGUAUGCAGAUGAUACGAUCAUCUACUUAGAGCAUAAUGUGGAUAAAACAAUCAACCUGAAGUUGUUGCUAUACAUAUUUGAGAUGAUGUCUGGGUUGAAGGUGAAUUUUCAGAAAGUGAAAUCCUCACAGUGGGAGGGGAUGAUAACACCGUGA